GUUAUGUGAACCGUUACAUGAGCUCAGUGGUUUUUUCUAUGAAUUCCUGUCUCAUUCAGUAUAAAAGUUCCUGAAGGUUCUCCAAGGUUCCUGGCUUUGAAACUCUCCUUCCAAAAACAGGGAAGGGUGAAGACAGACAAGAUUCCCCAAAAAUCAGGCCUGAGGUUGAAUGGAAAGUAAAGAACACAUGUCUACUGCCUUUGCAAAAAAGACUGAAGUGGCUUGCACAGUAACAGCGGUAGAAGAUGGAGCUGUCUGUCAGCAGCCGUCAGUGCAUCCUUGCAGCAAAGGCGGCCAACAGCAUCCAGGGCUGCAUUAUGGAAGAGUGUUGCCAGCAGGUUGAGGGAGGUGAUCCAUCUCCUCUCCUUAGCGCUGGUGAGACACGUCUGGAGUGCUGGGCACAGUGUGGGGCUUUCCAGUCCAAGAGAGGUAUGGACAUAUUAAGGGAUUGAAGCAUCUGUCCUAAGAGAGGGCUCGCUCUCUCUAGCUCAGAGGGCUGUGAUGUUUUAGCCUGGAGAAGAGAAGGCUCAGGUGAGUCUUAUAAAUAUGUAUAAAUAUCUAAUGGGGGGCUGAGUAAGGAAGACAGACCCAGGCUCUUCUCAGUGGUGCCCAGUGACACGAUGAGAAGUAAUGCGCGCACAUUAAAAUACGACAAAUUCCACUUAAGCAUAAAAAACCCCUUUGUUACUGUGGGGGUGGUCAAAUACUAGGACAGGUGGCCAGAGAGGCUGUGGAGGCUCCAUCCUUGGAGAUACUUAAAAACUGACAGGACGUG